CAAACUGUUAUCAACACUGAACAAAGCAGAGCACCAUGCCGGUGGAGUCUGACAACCAAGGGGAAAGAGCGUUUAACCUCCUCAGCUUCUGCGGCCAUGAGUCAGGGCAGUGGCUUCCCUCCGAAACGGAGGUUUGCUGUCAGUUGCUAACGAGAGAGGAAAAGGAGGGAUCUGUGAGGAGAUUUUCUGUCAAUAUUUGGGGAACAAACCGGGACCACUGGGAGGGGACUUUUGUACCCAACUUUAGUGACCAGCUCAGGGCCGGAUUCUUAGCUUGUGGCCCUAGUGUCAAUCUGGUAUCUGAUCUGGGCCAGAUUCUGAUCUCAGUGACCUCUGGUAGGUGCUGAAACACAAACAGCCGGAGAAUCUGAGCUGAGCCCCGAGGUCUAGGAACCGGAAUCCAGGCUCUCCUGAGAAAAAUUGGAUGAACUUUGGCCAUUUGUAGGGCAGAGCCUUGUCCACCCGCUCCGGGAAAACUGGAACACCCUGGAGUUCUGCCUCCAAACGGAGCCUGGGCUUCAGCAGAACUUGGCCUUUGCAGGACGAGAUUUUUCUUUCCCAACAGGGUAGCGAAAAGCAAAGCAGACGUCCCUGAACUGUUGAGUGUCGCCAACGUCCUAAGAGUUCAGGGCAGACUGGAAGCCCAGGGGGAAAUGACCAAUGAGCUGAGAACGUGUAUGGACCUCAGGCUGCAAGGGCUCAAAGAAGAGCCCUCGGGUAUACACGACAAAGCCCAGAUGUUGAUCCAGGGCAGAGGAACAAUUUAAAGCUGGAGAUGGGGAAAUGAGAUCUACGUGUAUUACAGCAACGGGUGCCCCGGUAUGACAUGAAAGAGCCAACCGUGGAGGUUCAUCUGGCCCAGCUGCGCUCCCACGCAGAACGGCUCCGUGUGGAGAACCUGCUGAGAGUGCAGAGCCGACUGCAGGCCGUGGAGAAGACGACCCAGCUGCUGAAACAAUGCUCAAAUGGCUGUAAAAUGGUUGGAGACCACUGCCCUACAAGAACAAAAGCUAUCCAGAUUACGAGACCAUUAGAAACAAUCAGCCUGGAGGGGUUAUACAGGGUGUCUCUUGUCAGACACACACAAGUGGUUUAAAAAUCACCAUUUCCCCCCAAUGAAAUCUAUGCUGGGUUUUGUUAAUUCA